GACGAACGCUGGCGGCGUGCUUAACACAUGCAAGUCGAACGGAAAGGCCUGCUUUCCCUUGUGGAUUGCGGGUACUCGAGUGGCGAACGGGUGAGUAACACGUGAGUGAUCUGCCCCCAACUUGGGUAUAAGCCUGGGAAACUGGGUCUAAUUCCCGAUAGGACUGCAGGGUGGUGCCUGUGGUGGAAAACGAUUUUCUAGUGGUUGGGGAUGAGCUCGCGGCCUAUCAGCUUGUUGGUGGGGUAAUGGCCUACCAAGGCGGCGACGGGUAGCCGGCCUGAGAGGGUGGACGGGCACAUUGGGACUGAGAUACGGCCCAGACUCCUACGGGAGGCAGCAGUGGGGAAUAUUAGACAAUGGGCGGAAGCCUGAUGCAGCGACGCCGCGUGGGGGAUGACGGCCUUCGGGUUGUAAACUCCUUUCGACCGCGAGGAAGCCACCUGGUUGGAAGGGUGGUGACGGUAGUGGUAGAAGAAGCACCGGCUAACUACGUG
rnacentral:rRNA from 1 species